UACGAAGGUGGCAAGCGUUGUUCGGAUUUACUGGGCGUAAAGGGAGCGUAGGUGGUGGGGUAAGCCCCGCGGGAAAGCUCCAGGCUUAACCGGGCGAGGUCGGCGGAAACUGUCCGACUCGAGGACGGUAGAGGGGGGUGGAAUUCCCGGUGUAGUGGUGAAAUGCGUAGAGAUCGGGAGGAACACCUGUGGCGAAGGCGGCCCCCUGGGCCGGCCCUGACACUGAGACGCGAAGGCGUGGGGAGCGAACGGG
rnacentral:rRNA from 1 species